rnacentral:rRNA from 1 species
AUUGAACGCUGGCGGCAGGCCUAACACAUGCAAGUCGAACGGUAACAGGAAACAGCUUGCUGUUUCGCUGACGAGUGGCGGACGGGUGAGUAAUGUCUGGGAAACUGCCUGAUGGAGGGGGAUAACUACUGGAAACGGUAGCUAAUACCGCAUAACGUCGCAAGACCAAAGAGGGGGACCCUCGGGCCUCUUGCCAUCGGAUGUGCCCAGAUGGGAUUAGCUUGUUGGUGGGGUAACGGCUCACCAAGGCGACGAUCCCUAGCUGGUCUGAGAGGAUGACCAGCCACACUGGAACUGAGACACGGUCCAGACUCCUACGGGAGGCAGCAGUGGGGAAUAUUGCACAAUGGGCGCAAGCCUGAUGCAGCCAUGCCGCGUGUAUGAAGUAGGCCUUCGGGUUGUAAAGUACUUUCAGCGGGGAGGAAGGGAGUAAAGUUAAUACCUUUGCUCAUUGACGUUACCCGCAGAAGAAGCACCGGCUAACUCCGUG